AUGGGAACACAAGGCAUCACAACGCACCUCCUGACAGGCAGUCUGUUCCUGGUGACUUUGAGAGACCACUUUGUCCUCCUUGACUUGCUGACACUGCAGUUCAGCCAGGACUGGUUUUUGUACAGCCGUGUGUCACUGUGGGCUACCUUCGGAGGAGGAACCCGGCUGACCGUCCUCGGACAGCCAAAGGCCUCUCCUACCGUCCACCUCUUCCCUCCCUCCUCGGAACAGGUCAACAGCAAGAGCCAGGCCACGCUGGUGUGUCUGAUGGACGGCUUUUACCCCGGCUCGGUCCAGGUCACCUGGAAAGCUGAUGGCACCACCAUGUCCAGCGGAGUGGAGACCACCACGCCGUCCAAACAGAGCGACAACAAGUACAUGGCCAGCAGCUACCUGUCGCUGAGCGCCUCCGCCUGGAAGAGCCACGAGACCUACACCUGUCAGGUGACGCACGACGGGAAGAGCAUCGAGAAGACCCUGAAGAGAUCGGAGUGCUCUUAACCCGCAGCCCCGGAGGGCUCGGCUGGCUCCUGUCCCAGUCAGUAGAGAGCUGGGAUCCCUGAGGAGUUGGGAUCCUUCUGUAGUAUCUCCUUAAUGUUGAUUUCCAGCAAUUGUAUUUCUACUUUCUAUGGAAGUCAGUCCCUUUGAUGCCUGCCAUUCUUCUCACGUAUCCUUCUCCCACCCUCCCCUCUCUGAAUUCCCUGCACCUGUUGCUCCUGCUUUGAUCUCGGAUGCAGCCUUGUUACUAUAUUAAUAAAACCAGAAACAGUUUAACUCUCA